rnacentral:lncRNA from 1 species
AGGCACAUUGCAAAAUUGUAUGGAAACCAUGUGCCCAGGAAGAAUUUAAAAAGCGUUCCUAGAGUUAAUUAGUAGAUGCCUUGUCCCCUGCUUGCUAAGGCUUUGUAAUGUUACAUUACUGUUAGCUCUUAACAGUGUUGUUCAGAGCACAGUGGCAGUCUGCUGCUAGGCUACCAAUAGACCACUAAAGAAAUAUCCACGCAUGCGGUCACACCUAAAUCCCUGGCGACGAACACACUUUUUAAACAUUACGCCCACUCACCUUUAGAUGUACAAAGAUUACACUAAAUUUUCAAUAAUACAAAUUAUCUUUCAACUCGAGGGCCAUGCUAGACAAAUGUAACCGCUUCUGGUGCUCAGCAUGAUUGAUGUUAAGUCAUUUUUACAAGAUCCAUUCUGUCCCUGCCACAUCUGGUAAUUGAGUUCAGCCACCCCGGAGAAGGCGGUCUCCUCUCCCCCAAGGCUCGUGUGAAAUUCCAGUUGCCAUUUUAAGCUUCCAAUUAGUUCAUGACAUAAAAAUUACGGUUUCCCUUUGAAUUUCUUUCCUCUGGCCCAGUUACAUGCAAGACACACUCAUUCCACACAGUUCCCGAUGUCUCAAAUCUGGCUAGUUAAAGCUCUGUGCUGUGGAACGGUGCCUGUCCAUGGAGGUAACUGUCCCUUCCGUGCCUGUGGAAAAGCUCUGGGAACCCAGCUAGCCAGUAAAUGCACUGUCUCGCUCAGACUCGCGGCCCAACAUGGCUGGCUUUUGCCCAGGUUUGUAAGUACAUUCUGGGAACUGAACUCAGGUACUCCAGCUUGCAAGGUAAGCACUUCACAGGCUGGUCCAUCUCACCAGAGCUGGACCUCGUUCUUACCUGACGCAUUCAUCUCUAUUUUUCUUACCUUGUUUCCACAGUGCCCCACCCCCACCCCACCAAACCGGAACCACCACCACCCGCAGUCUCAGAACUUCAAAGAGAACUGUUACAAUUUCUCUCCCAUCACUGCUUGGGAAGCCAACUGCGGAACAGGAGGCAACAAUCUAUUUUGCCUAAGUUCUUUUCCUAUAUAUGUGUGCUCUCAGCAUCUGCUCCAGCUGCUGUGUCUUCUGCUUGCUACACUGUGUCCCUGCCAUGAUGGUUGUCUCGCUAACUCUCUG